rnacentral:sRNA from 1 species
GUCGGGCAAACUGUCCGCUUGCAACCUUCAGGCUGCUUGAAUUGAGAUCUGCUUUCCUUUGACCGCGGAUGUACCGGCACUGUUGAGAGCAUGAUAUCAGCGAGGUCAGGCAAGUUGCCUGGCCUUUUUUAUU